AUUGACCUCGAAUCAGGUAGGGAUACCCGCUGAACUUAAGCAUAUCAAUAAGCGGAGGAAAAGAAACCAACAGGGAUUG
rnacentral:rRNA from 1 species